AUGGAUGUAGCUAAAAACUUCGCCAGUAGUAACAAAGUCCAACUGCGAGCGUACGGCGGCGAGGAAGCGGCGGCGCGCGCCUACGACCUGGCGGCACUCAAGUACUGGGGCCGCGGCACCGUCCUCAACUUCUCGCUGUCUAGCUACGACCAAGAGUUGAAAGAAAUGGAGGAGCAGUCAAGGGAGGAGUACAUCGGCUCGCUCCGGAGGAAAAGCACUGGUUUCUCAAGAGGGGUGUCCAAGUACAGAGGCGUCGCAAGGCAUCACCACAACGGCAAAUGGGAGGCCAGGAUUGGGCGUGUGUUUGGCAACAAGUAUCUCUACCUAGGCACCUACGCAACGCAGGAGGAGGCAGCAAUGGCAUACGACCUCGCUGUGAUCGAGCAUCGCGGCCUCAACGCCGUUACCAACUUCGACGUCAGUCGCUAUAUCAAGUGGCACCACCAUCGCCACAACCAUGCCAACGACACAGACCAACUUCCCGUCCGCACGAGCCAACCCCCCACCAUUGAUCUCAAUGUCACCGCCCUCCGUGAUAACGAUCGAUUGCAACAACCACAGCAACAGCUGAAGCCUGAGUACAGCAGUGGCACUUCGCCGGCGCGGUGCAGCUUCCCGGACGACGUGCAAACAUACUUUGGUUGCGACGACGACGACAACAGUGUCGACUACACGGAGGUUGACACGUUCUUAUUUGGGGACCCGGGCGUGUGCGCUGCGCCCAUUUUCCAGUUCGAGUUGGGCCUUUGA
rnacentral:rRNA from 1 species